rnacentral:rRNA from 1 species
AACGCGAAGAACCUUACCUGGGCUCGAAAUGCAGUGGACCGGGGUGGAAACAUCCCUUCCCGCAAGGGUCGCUGCAUAGGUGCUGCAUGGCUGUCGUCAGCUCGUGUCGUGAGAUGUUGGGUUAAGUCCCGCAACGAGCGCAACCCUUAUUGUCAGUUGCCAUCAGGUCAAGCUGGGCACUCUGGCGAAACCGCCCCGGAUAACGGGGAGGAAGGUGGGGAUGACGUCAAGUCCUCAUGGCCUUUAUGUCCAGGGCUACACACGUGCUACAAUGGUCGGUACAAACCGUCGCAAAGCUGCAAAGUGGAGCUAAUCGGAAAAAGCCGGCCUCAGUUCGGAUUGGAGUCUGCAACUCGACUCCAUGAAGCUGGAAUCGCUAGUAAUCGCAGAUCAGAACGCUGCGGUGAAUACGUUCCCGGGCCUUGUACACACCGGAGUGC